GCCUCCGUGGCCCAAUGGAUAAGGCAUCGGUCUUCUAAACCGGGGAUUGUGGGUUCGACCCCCACCGGAGGUA
rnacentral:tRNA from 1 species